rnacentral:tRNA from 1 species
GCCAGCAUGGCUCAGUGGUUGAGCAUUGCCCUAUGAACCAGGAGGUCCCGGUUCAAUUCCUGGUGAGGGCA